UACGUAGGGGGCAAGCGUUGUCCGGAAUUAUUGGGCGUAAAGAGCGUGUAGGCGGUCCGGUAAGUCGGCUGUGAAAGUCCAGGGCUCAACCCUGGGACGCCGGUCGAUACUGCCGGACUAGAGUUCGGAAGAGGCGAGUGGAAUUCCCGGUGUAGCGGUGAAAUGCGCAGAUAUCGGGAGGAACACCUAUGGCGAAGGCAGCUCGCUGGGACGUUACUGACGCUGAGACGCGAAAGCGUGGGGAGCAAACAGG
rnacentral:rRNA from 1 species